AAUAACGAUAAUGAAGCAAAAUUGCAGGUGUUACAGGAAUAGUAAUAAUCGUGUUCCUCUCUCGUUUUGUUCUUUCUCUCCGUUCUCUCUGAGCAUUUUCCUUUCCUAAUGGGAGCUGAAUCAGAAUCUCAUCAAACAGCACCUGCGUUGGCGGAUCCACGCCGCCGGAGGACGUGUUCGCCGGAUAUGAGGGAGACGGCGGCGUUCCGGUCUAUCGCGGAGGUGGAUCUGACCGUUGAUGGUGUUGUCUGGCACCACAGGGCUCUCCGUCUUCAUCGGAGAGAUCAGUAAUUGGCCGAAGCCUUCACAUCGGCUAGUAGCUCGUUUUAUAAACGAUUAGGUUAGGGUUUCUGUAUCGCAUUUUCGACUUAACGAAUCGUGCCUUUUUUUUUUGUUUUUUCGCGGAGUUUGAACUUGAUUUUCCCAGUUUGUGAUGUCAAUGCAGGUGUUCGUUUCAUGCGGGAAAUUGUUGUUAAUGUUUGUUUUGCAAUGUUUGACAACAUGUUGCAUGAAUUGAAUAGUAUUUGGUACUGGUGUGAGAUAAACUCCGUUGUGUUAACUUGUGUCUUGUGGAGUAAGUAGACAGAUCAGCAAUUUCUCUCAUCCUUUCAGGUGUCAAUUGUCGUAUUGUUUGGUCCUUGAUUUGUUGAAUAUCAGCUUACCUUGCUGCUUAAUCCAACAUGAUUUGGAAUGCAAGUAUAGAUUACUUACUAUGUUAGUUUGUGCUUGGGUGUUAGGUUCCCCUUGAAAUAGUUUAUUUAUUGCUUAGUUGGACUUAUCUAAUGACAUAUGCACUAGUUCAUGUGUAUGGAAGAGUUUAUGAAAAGGGUUUAUAUUGAUAUGUCCUUAAGCAAUUUUAUCUUAUUUCAAAAUAAGCUCUUAUGAAAACAAUUUAACCACAUCUCUUGGAUAAUUAAAGUAUUUUAUACAUAAGUGCCUACAUGAUAAGUACUUAUUCGAUAAGUGCUGAAGAAAGUCGUUCGAAAUGGAACCUUGGUGUAGUUGACAUUGAGUGCGGGAAUUGUUCGGUGAGCCUGUAAUUGGUUCCUAAAACUCUGAAAAUUAGGUUGUAUUUGUCUGCCGUCGCACUGCACUUUUGUGUUAUUUUCAGUUAGUAGAGAGUCAAUGAUUCUAGUUUCGUCAGAUUCCGUUAAAUGCUUUUCAAGUAGUAACAGUAAACUUUAAUUUUUUACUUGUUUUGGGGCUUUUUAUCACAUGGUGGGAGGGAAUUGUGAAUGUCAUAUGACAAACUAUCGGGCUUUACUGACAAUUUUUAGGUAUUUUAACGUUUCAGGCGAAAUUGCUUUUUUUUUUUUUUGUAACGUUUCAAGUCUUUGUAACGCAUGUGUAUUAAUUUUCUACUUUUCCUCUUUACAUAUAUAUAUUUGGCUGUGAUGUGAAAUUUUGUCACAUGGAAGCUGUUUCUCAAGUAUCUACUCCCAAGUAUCCCGAAAAGCUGGUAAAUUUUAUCCUCUCAUGACAAAACUUUCUAUAAUGACUUGUUGCUACCCCCAGAAUAAUCUUGAAAUGGCAGAUAAUACAAUAGAGGUAAUGGAAUGCCAAAUUUGCAACAGCUGGCUGUAAGUUGGGUACAUCGUAACAUCACCUUUGGUCAAUGAAAAUGAUGACUUUCUGAGAUUGGCAACAAAUAAUGAACCCCCGGGCUUCAAAAUGUGACUUCAUUCUCACCUGUUUCCUUUUGUAGGUCAAAAACCCUCGUCUUCCAUCUGUCCUAAGUAAGCUUCUUCGGCCUUUACCUAUCUAUAUCUAUUGAAAUGUUUUUCCCUGAUGGAGGUCCUUUUCUGGACCAUCUUUUAAAGCUUCAAGAACUGUGCUCUAAGUAUGUAUGUUUGCCAAUUCAGUUAUACUAAUUUUGAGUGAGUUAAUUAAAUGUUGCAUAUUUUGUUGAUUUUGCCCGUUAGAGGAGUUUUACCCCUUCCACUGCCUGAACAGGCAUAUUCAACAGCUACUACCAUUUGACUUAAAGCAAAUAUUUAUCUAUUUCCAUUUUUUUCCUGCUGUCUAUCUGCACAGUACUUUCCUGUAAGCAUGCAGACAGGGAUGUGAGAUACGAGACUGUUUUUGCUAAUUGAUUGUUAUCGUACUGGUUUUACAAGAUGAACAUCAAAUGGCCCAACAAACCAGCACUCCUCUAGCAUUGACACAUGCUGGCUACAGUUCUAUGCCCAAAUUGAGGUGAACGUAUACCACAGCUUAAUUCGACAAGUACGAUCCUCAAGCCAGUGAUUGCACAAAACCGUGAGCUAUUUCUGGGUUGGUCGGCAUUUUUUGGAUUCUUUCUGCAGAAAGUACUCGUCAUUUUCUUAUAUUGCUCUUUUACUGGAUUACUUAUUCGUGGUACAGCUUGUAAAGAUAGUUUGGUAGUACAAAUUGUAACAGUAGUAUUGUCAUUCUCUUUAAAA